rnacentral:rRNA from 1 species
UACGGGGGGGGCAAGCGUUGUUCGGAAUUACUGGGCGUAAAGGGCUCGUAGGCGGCCAACUAAGUCCGACGUGAAAUCCCCAGGCUUAACCUGGGAACUGCGUCGGAUACUGGAUGGCUUGAAUUCGGGAGAGGGAUGCAGAAUUCCAGGUGUAGCGGUGAAAUGCGUAGAUAUCUGGAGGAAUACCGGUGGCGAAGGCGGCAUCCUGGACCGACAUUGACGCUGAGACUCGAAAGCGUGGGGAGCAAACAGG